UACGUAGGGUGCAAGCGUUGUCCGGAAUUAUUGGGCGUAAAGAGCUCGUAGGCGGUUUGUCGCGUCUGCUGUGAAAACCCCGAGGCUCAACCUCGGGCCUGCAGUGGGUACGGGGCAGACUAGAGUGCGGUAGGGGAGAUUGGAAUUCCUGGUGUAGCGGUGGAAUGCGCAGAUAUCAGGAGGAACACCAAUGGCGAAGGCAGAUCUCUGGGCCGUAACUGACGCUGAGGAGCGAAAGCAUGGGGAGCGAACAGG
rnacentral:rRNA from 1 species